GAUGAACGCUGGCGGCGUGCCUAAUACAUGCAAGUCGAGCGAAUGGAUUAAGAGCUUGCUCUUAUGAAGUUAGCGGCGGACGGGUGAGUAACACGUGGGUAACCUGCCCAUAAGACUGGGAUAACUCCGGGAAACCGGGGCUAAUACCGGCUAACAUUUUGAACCGCAUGGUUCGAAAUUGAAAGGCGGCUUCGGCUGUCACUUAUGGAUGGACCCGCGUCGCAUUAGCUAGUUGGUGAGGUAACGGCUCACCAAGGCAACGAUGCGUAGCCGACCUGAGAGGGUGAUCGGCCACACUGGGACUGAGACACGGCCCAGACUCCUACGGGAGGCAGCAGUAGGGAAUCUUCCGCAAUGGACGAAAGUCUGACGGAGCAACGCCGCGUGAGUGAUGAAGGCUUUCGGGUCGUAAAGCUCUGUUGUUAGGGAAGAACAAGUGCUAGUUGAAUAAGCUGGCACCUUGACGGUACCUAACCAGAAAGCCACGGCUAACUACGUGCCAGCCGCCGCUGUAA
rnacentral:rRNA from 1 species